rnacentral:rRNA from 1 species
UACGUAGGGUGCGAGCGUUAAUCGGAAUUACUGGGCGUAAAGCGUGCGCAGGCGGUUUGUAAGUCUGUCGUGAAAUCCCCGGGCUCAACCUGGGAAUUGCGAUGGAGACUGCAAGGCUAGAAUCUGGCAGAGGGGGUAGAAUUCCACGUGUAGCAGUGAAAUGCGUAGAGAUGUGGAGGAACACCGAUGGCGAAGGCAGCCCCCUGGGUCAAGAUUGA